UACGUAGGGCGCAAGCGUUAAUCCGGAAUUAUUGGGCGUAAAGAGCUCGUAGGCGGUUUGUCGCGUCUGCCGUGAAAGUCCGGGGCUCAACUCCGGAUCUGCGGUGGGUACGGGCAGACUAGAGUGAUGUAGGGGAGACUGGAAUUCCUGGUGUAGCGGUGAAAUGCGCAGAUAUCGAGAGGAACACCAGAGGUGAAGACGGGUUGCUGGGCCGACACUGACGCUGACAGCGCGAAAGCCAGGGGAGCAAACGGG
rnacentral:rRNA from 1 species